ACUUCUCAACCCCACCAACUUAAUUGUUGGUAGUCUGGGAUUGGAUCAUGGCAUGUUGUUGGUCUUAACAGACGGACUCUGCUGAAAUGUAACAAGCUACAGUCAAAGUACUUUUGCGGCUUGAGCUAUCGUUGUAGAACUAUUCGAUAGUGACGCGAAAGAUGUUCCGGCAUAAGCUUUCAAACACAAACGCAAAACCUGUUUUGGAUGUUCACGAAACAGUGCA
rnacentral:misc_RNA from 1 species